rnacentral:tRNA from 1 species
GCGGGUAUAGUAUAAUGGUAGCACACGACCUUCCCAAGGUUGAGACACGGGUUCGAUUCCCGUUACCCGCUCCA